CCUCCCUCCUACAUGCUUCUGUCAGCUCUUUUACCACAGCAACAAGAGGUAACUGAUACGGGACACUGGCCAAGAUGACUGGCAGGGUCUCAGUGUGUGGGCCAGGCUGACCUCCCACCUCUGCCUCCCAAGUACACUGAUUAUAGGCUGUGUCGCCUGUUUUCCUGAAGGAGCUUCCCAGCCUCGGCAGGACCGUGGUCAGAGGAAGGUCCUGGCACACCUGGGGGAAGGUUGAGUGCAGCAAACACUACACAAUGGGACUAAAGGUGCAGAGGCCUGCCAUCUUCCUUCAGGAACAACAGACUCCAUCAGGGACUUUGGGAUGAGGAACUAGUUUUACCUCUCCUCCCAAGACAACUUUGGUGUAACAAUAAAAAUGUCUUUGCAUGGCUGCUCAAGGUUCAAGUCCCUCCCUGGACCUCCCUGCUGCCUUGGAGCCAGAAUCCCCUCCUUCUUUGUGGAGCGCCCCUCCUUCUUUGAUUGACCUGCAUAACAAAGAAUCCUGACAGGACCCAAUACCCUCCCUCUUCUGGCCUCUGCAAACCAUGUGGUGUAUAUACAGGUAAGCUGGAGCACACACAUACACAACAGUCAAUGC